rnacentral:tRNA from 1 species
AAUGAAGUGCCUGAUCUAAAAGGAUUACUAUGAUAGAGUAAAUUAUGUAAACUCAAUUACCUUCAUUA